GCCUCUGUGGCGCAGCGGUAGUGCGCUAGGCUGCGACACUGGAGGUCACGGGUUCGAAUCCCGGCCAGGGCA
rnacentral:tRNA from 1 species